GACUGUUUGUCUAAAACACUACCUACUGCUUUCUACGCUUCGAAACGCAAUCAAUUGUUCAAAAAUUAAAAAAUGUCAAAACUCAUUGUGUUGAUUGUUUUGAUUGCUGUUCUGGCAAAUAUAUUGAUUUCUUCAUCUGUCAUGGGCUGUCGAG